UACGUAGGGGGCUAGCGUUGUCCGGAAUCAUUGGGCGUAAAGAGCGCGUAGGCGGCCAGAUAAGUCCGGUGUGAAAGUCAAAGGCUCAACCUUUGAAUGCCGCUGGAAACUGUCUGGCUAGAGUCCGGGAGGGGCGAGUGGAAUUCCUGGUGUAGCGGUGAAAUGCGCAGAUAUCAGGAGGAACACCAAUGGCGAAGGCAGCUCGCUGGAACGGUACUGACGCUGAUGUGCGAAAGCGUGGGGAGCAAACAGG
rnacentral:rRNA from 1 species